rnacentral:rRNA from 1 species
CCGGGGGAUAACACCUGGAAACAGAUGCUAAUACCGCAUAACAACUUGGACCGCAUGGUCCGAGUUUGAAAGAUGGCUUCGGCUAUCACUUUUGGAUGGUCCCGCGGCGUAUUAGCUAGAUGGUGGGGUAACGGCUCACCAUGGCAAUGAUACGUAGCCGACCUGAGAGGGUAAUCGGCCACAUUGGGACUGAGACACGGCCCAAACUCCUACGGGAGGCAGCAGUAGGGAAUCUUCCACAAUGGACGAAAGUCUGAUGGAGCAACGCCGCGUGAGUGAAGAAGGGUUUCGGCUCGUAAAACUCUGUUGUUAAAGAAGAACAUAUCUGAGAGUAACUGUUCAGGUAUUGACGGUAUUUAACCAGAAAGCCACGGCUAACUACGUGCCAGCAGCCGCGGUAAUACGUAGGUGGCAAGCGUUGUCCGGAUUUAUUGGGCGUAAAGCGAGCGCAGGCGGUUUUUUAAGUCUGAUGUGAAAGCCUUCGGCUCAACCGAAGAAGUGCAUCGGAAACUGGGAAACUUGAGUGCAGAAGAGGACAGUGGAACUCCAUGUGUAGCGGUGAAAUGCGUAGAUAUAUGGAAGAACACCAGUGGCGAAGGCGGCUGUCUGGUCUGUAACUGACGCUGAGGCUCGAAAGUAUGGGUAGCAAACAGGAUUAGAUACCCUGGUAGUCCAUACCGUAAACGAUGAAUGCUAAGUGUUGGAGGGUUUCCGCCCUUCAGUGCUGCAGCUAACGCAUUAAGCAUUCCGCCUGGGGAGUACGGCCGCAAGGCUGAAACUCAAAGGAAUUGACGGGGGCCCGCACAAGCGGUGGAGCAUGUGGUUUAAUUCGAAGCUACGCGAAGAACCUUACCAGGUCUUGACAUACUAUGCAAAUCUAAGAGAUUAGACGUUCCCUUCGGGGACAUGGAUACAGGUGGUGCAUGGUUGUCGUCAGCUCGUGUCGUGAGAUGUUGGGUUAAGUCCCGCAACGAGCGCAACCCUUAUUAUCAGUUGCCAGCAUUAAGUUGGGCACUCUGGUGAGACUGCCGGUGACAAACCGGAGGAAGGUGGGGAUGACGUCAAAUCAUCAUGCCCCUUAUGACCUGGGCUACACACGUGCUACAAUGGAUGGUACAACGAGUUGCGAACUCGCGAGAGUAAGCUAAUCUCUUAAAGCCAUUCUCAGUUCGGAUUGUAGGCUGCAACUCGCCUACAUGAAGUCGGAAUCGCUAGUAAUCGCGGAUCAGCAUGCCGCGGUGAAUACGUUCCCGGGCCUUGUAC